rnacentral:lncRNA from 1 species
ACCACCGAAAUUUUCAGCAAAGGGAAGGGUUUUGAAGUUUUAAAAUUUCAGCUAGGUUAUCCUCUUGCAAGUAAGUGCUUAAGAUGCUUAUUUUUUAUAAUUUUUGUACUUUUGGAACCCUUAUGGCAUGAGCUAGAUAAUGGGGGGACCAUUUUCCAAAAUGGUUGAUAGUCUAGGGAUUUUCCAUGAAAUAUUUAUGAUGUUUUCUAAGUUUUUAGGGAAGAAAAUGAAUCUUGGUUGUUAAAUAAACAACUUUUGUGAAAGAACUUCUCAUGAAAACCCUAAUAUGACCAUUUUGUAAAGAUUGUAAAAUAAAUAGUAAUGUGGUGAAAUAAUGGGAAUUUUGGGUCACUAUAAGAGUAAAAAGGGAUCUUCUAGGCUUAAGACUUAAAGAAAUCUGAUAAAAAGUGAUUUACGAGCCUAGGGGUAAAAUUGUAAUUUUUGUAAAGUUUAAGGGCAAAACGGUCAUUUUUUCCAAAGUAUGAGUCUUGAGUUGAAUUGAAUGAUUUGAGUAUUAAAUAAGCUAAAUUUUGACAUUUUAGAUCAAGAGAAAUGUGAUUCGGGUCUUGAUCAGGGAAAGAACAAAGUUUAUAAGGAUUAAGCUUGUUCCCAUCGUUUUGUACCGAGGUAAGUACAUAUGUAAAUAAUAUACAUAUGUAAAUAAUAUGUCAUUGUAGCUUACUUUUAAAUGUGUUGAUAUAUAUAUUUAAAUGUUUUAUUGUUAUCAUGUAUCAUAAUUUUAUUGUUAUGAAGAAUGUGAUAUAAGAGUAACCUACAUUAUGAGCAAGUGCGAUGACAUCGGGUUAGAUUUGAAAUCCCAUUGAACCUCAGGAAUAGUAUAGAAUACACAAAGUAGGUCAUGAGAAAUUAUGUGGUCUGAACUCAUGAGUUGUGUCUAAGUUCAUGAGAUGAAUGUUAUAUAUAAUGUGGGUCCGGGUAAUGGCUUCGUGACUAAACCCGUGAGUAACUCGCUGAACGAGCAUUUCAUGUUAACGCUAUAUGGGUCCGGGUGGUGACUUUGUGUAUAAGCCCGUGAGUAGCUUAAUGAGCAGGCAUUACGUGAUAAUGCUAUGGAGUCCGGGUACUGACUAGGUAAAAAUGCCCGUGAGUAGCUCAAAAUGCAAGCAUUACAUAGUAUGAGGUAGCUUUGGCUACUUAUAUGGCACUUAGGUGCAAACUUCCCGUGUAUCCAUUAGUAUUUCGAGUGUUCAACGGGUAACUCGAAAGGUGAGUUGGUGAUAAUUUCGAUGAAUUAUGUCAUUAGAGAGAAUGAACUUGAGUUAUUUUUACGGGUGAUUACAGGUAUGUGUACUAAACUUAUGAAUAAGGCCUUAUUAUGUGACAAGAUGUAGCAAGUAUGCGUAAAUGAAGUGAAGAGUAAGAUAGAAAGGUCUAAAUGAUAUAUAUCAUUCAAGUUUAAUAAAUUAUCAUCUGACGAAUGAGUUCCUUCUUAUACAUUAUUUGUAUAUAUGUACUUACUAAGCUUUAUGCUUAUUCUAUUCCUUUCCAUUUUCUUAUAGUGUUGUCAAGCUCGUAUCGGGGAUCAAGGGACGUCGGAGGCAUUGGUCACACUAUCACUUGAAGCUUUUGGUAUAGUUAAUUUAAAUGUUGUAAUUUUGGCAUUUAUAGGGACUCAAAUCUUUGGUUUAGUGUCUUGUUCGAUCAGCCACAAGUGUUGGCUCUUAUGAUGGAUGUGAUAACAUUUUGUAUAGGCCAU